GAGUUGUGAUGACCAUCUUCAUAACUAAGCCACUGUCCCUCUCAUUCCAGCAGCUUCUAAGCCUGCCUUCUGCCUGAAGCCUAAAUCAAUAGGUCCCUGCAAGGGCAGGAAGAUCAGGUACUUCUACAAUGCCAAGACCAGGCAAUGCCAACGCUUUUUCUACGGUGGCUGCAAAGGGAACUUGAAUAACUUCUACACCAUGGCGCUGUGCAUGAACACCUGCGGUCAUGUGGAAUGGUCCUGGAGAAGACACGGGAAGAGUCAUGCUCCAAAACUCUGAAGUCCGAGGAGGACCCAUGAAAGUCUGGGCUGCUCCUGAAACAGUUCAGUCUCCUUGCAUUUCUUCUCUCCCCUACCUUCCUCAGCAGAGCCUGCCUAUUUCCUUUCCUCUAUGAUGCUGAGAGAAUUCCCUGGUGGCACAGAUGGUAAAAGCGUCUGACUACAAUGUGGGAGACCCGGGUUCAAUCCCUGGGUCAGGAAGAUCUCCUGGAGAAGGAAAUAGCAACCCACUCCAGUGUUCUUGCCUGGAAAAUCCCAUGGACAGAGGAGCCUGGUAGGCUACAGUCCAUGGGGUCGCAAAGAGUAGGACACUACUGAGCAACUUCACUUCACUUUAUGAUGCUGGGGAAGAUUGAGAGCAGGAGGAGAAGGGGACAGCAGAAGAUGAAAUGGUUGGGUGGCAUCACCAACUUAAUGGGCAUGAGUUUGAGCAAGCUCUGAAACAUAGUAAAGACAGGGAAGUCUGGCAUGCUGAAGCCCAUUGGGUCACAAAGAGUUGGACACAACUUGGUGACUGAACAACAUGGGUCUAUACACCUUAGUUCAGUCUUAUCCAGUUGGCUCUAAGCACCAUGACAGCAUGUCUUCCCUUUAUCUUGAGCACUUAGCACAGUUCCUGGCAUGAAGAAAGCAGUUAAUAAUUAUGUGAGGAAGGAAAGAGUUUUUAAGAGUGCAGGACGAGCACAUUCCUCUCGACCAGAGUAACUAUAGAGCCUGAGGUUUGACACCAGGAUUGUUGCCUCAACCCACAUACUCAUGGCAUCCUCACCAUGCCAUCACUGAUCUCCUUGUGUGAGGCCUUGGUGGAAUUUCUGGCAUCCAUUUCUCAGCAUCAGUAAUGAGAGAAGUCUUUGCAAUAAAAAAGCUCCCCCUUUCCCUUAAAGAUGUUGC
rnacentral:lncRNA from 1 species